rnacentral:tRNA from 1 species
CUCCCUGUAGUUUAGUGGAAGAACAAGGCACUCCUAAGGCUUAGACACAAGUUCGAUCCUUGUCGGGGAGACCA